AAUACCCUCUUGGUGGGAUAACCAUUGUCGGUGCUGUCACGAGCUGCGUUUACGCGGUUAGGACUGGCAGCAUGACUGCUCUAUCCUUUGCUUAUAUGUACCAUUCGUUGCUUUCUCGGUGGGGACGCUCUCCGGCUGGAAGCCCAACUAUAAAACCUUCAUAGUAGAUUUUACCUCUGAUGUGGGCGUCAAUAUUUACAACUUUCAACAAUGGAUCUCUUGGUUCUGGCAUCGAUGAAGAACGCAGCGAAAUGCGAUAAGUAGUGUGAAUUGCAGAAUUCAGUGAAUCAUCGAAUCUUUGAACGCAUAUUGCGCCCCUUGGUACUCCAUUGGGCAUGCCUGUUCGAGCGUCAUUUACACCCUCAAGCUCUGCUUGGUGUUGGGCGUCUGUCCUGCUUGUGUGUGGACUCGCCUCAAAGUUAUCGGCAGCUUCUAUAUCAGCUUCCAGCGCAGCAGAAUUAGCGCUCUGGCAAGUCUGGAUAGAU
rnacentral:misc_RNA from 1 species